AACGAACGCUGGCGGCAGGCUUAACACAUGCAAGUCGAGCGCCCCGCAAGGGGAGCGGCAGACGGGUGAGUAACACGUGGGAAUCUACCCAUCCCUGCGGAACAACUCCGGGAAACUGGAGCUAAUACCGCAUACGCCCUACGGGGGAAAGAUUUAUCGGGGAUGGAUGAGCCCGCGUUGGAUUAGCUAGUUGGUGGGGU
rnacentral:rRNA from 1 species